rnacentral:misc_RNA from 1 species
UCGAUUGCAACCGGUUGGGUGCCGAAGCCCGUAGGCCGACAGCUGCACACGCACGCACACACGCACGCACACACACACACACACACACAAUCAUACGCAAAGACGCUCACGCCCGACCACGCCCACUCGCACGCACUUGGUCUUCUUGAAUCGUGUUUGUUCGUAUACAUUUUUACUUUGCAUCGGGGUGCGUUCCCCACCCCUUCCUCACCCGCGGCUCGCUUUCGGGAUUUCCGGAGACACAGAGGGAACGACGACGAGCGGACCUUCGCUCGUUUGCGCUCCCCCCUUCGUCCAUUGCCAUCAUUGCCGGCGUGGCGAUGCCGCUGCUGCCUCUCUCUUCCACGCUCACGAGUAGAGCGUGGGGGGAUCCCACUUCGUCCAUCACCGCCUUCAAGGUGCGCGAGAAGCACGAAGCAGGCAUGCGCCUGCUACAAGGUGGGCUCGUCUAUGAGGCAAUCCAGCUCUUCCAGGAAGCGUCCUUCUUCGACGCGGAAAACGUACGGCCCAUCGUGGCGCUCGCUGAGUGCUACGUCUUCCUGUGCGACCUGCGGUCCGCCGUUCGCUGCUACCGGCGGGCACUGUUGUCGCUGCACAAGAAAGAUAUGGAUGACUACUGCCGCCGCGCUAACGAAAACCCGACCGACACUGUCGAUGAGGUCUCUGCCACUCACAGCUGUCGCGUUGACGCGCCGAACUCACCCGAGAGGACGUGGCGGAAUGGUGGUAAAACGCGUUCCUCUGACGUUCCAGAUGAUAUGAGAGGAGGGACAUGGGAGGCUCGCCUGAAGACGGCGCAGGACCCCGCGCCUGCAUCCUUCCAGUCUGCCGGAGGUAGCAGUCCGUCAGACUGCUCUAUCCAAGGCUUUGCGGACGGCCUACAUUCAACGGAGAUGGCCGCGCGCUUCUCCGAGCAACAGCCUUCUCUAGCGAAAUCAGUCGACUCGGCUGCGAGCGAGGUUCCAGCGACGACGCUGAGCCUACCAGCACCAGGUGCAGCGCCCACCCUGAAGGACAUACGCGCGCGCCUUGCGGGAGUGCUCGAUGCCCUGGGACUGUCUCUGUAUCAGCUCGGCAGCGUCGAGCAAGCUCUCCGUUGCACCAACGAGGCCCUGGAGCUGCUGGACGCCGCCGAACGGGUAGGCGAGGGUGAGGACGAGGACAUACCCUCGAGCAAGUCGCCACAGUUCCUAGUCGACCCGACGAUUGCGCUACAUCGCGGCGUGUACCUGAUAGCGCUGCAACGCGACGAGGAAGCAGAGGCGCUGCUUGAGGAUCACUUCGCCAUCUUUCCGCGCUGGCGUCCUCAGACGGCCGCGCUUCUGGUUCAGCUCUACUGCAACCGCCAAGCCUUCCGCAAGGCGCGAGUGCUGCUGGAGGCGCAGGAGGAGAAGGAGGCGUGUAACACGGACUCGAGCAAGGCGCCGAUCGAAGUCCACGGCAACGUCCAUGAGGGGCUGUGUAGUGCACGACGGAGGACUCUGGCCCCGUCGCUGCCGUCCAGCGCGGACGCACUGGGGUCGCUGGCGGUCGCCAAAUACCUCUUCACCGAGCUGUAUGCGCGCUACCGCACGGCAGCGCUCGCGAGCAACGAUGAGGCCAGCAUCACCCGCUGCCUCAGCAUUUACUCGAAUGACUUUGACCUGCUGUUCCGCCGAGCGCAGCUGAGCGUCGCGGCGGGGAAGCACAAGCAGAGCGUCAAGGACCUGUUCCGCUGCGUGCGAGAGACGAACGGUGAACACAAGGAAGCGAUUGAAGUGAUGACGACGGUGCUCUUCACGAUUGGCUCCUCCUUGAACGGCGAGGCCGAGGUUCAGGACGCGGUUACCUACUACUCUGAGUCGCUCAAGUGGCGCCCGGACAACGUGCUCGUGCUGCUGGCGCGUGGCGACUGCUAUACCAAAAUGGAGUGCUUUGAGGAGGCGCUCGCGGACUACGAGGCGGUCCUGGGCUUGGAGUCAGACCAGCGUGACGCGCGACAGCGAAUCGCCUCGUUGCACGACCUGUGGGGCCGCAAGCUCUUCGCCCAGAACCAGCCGGAGCAGGCGGAGGUGGAGUUCACCAACGCCAUCAAGACGGACGGUCGGAACCCGCAGUUUUACUAUCAUCGUGCUCUCUGCCGCCUCAAGCUCGAUCAGGGACGCUACGCGUUGCGCGACGUGCUCUCCUGCAAGGAGCUCCACCCCACCGCACCGCACCUUCGUGCCUUUAUUGCGCGGUACCUGGAGCCGGUGCAGCCGCCGGAGGCCAGCCAACGCCGCAACACGCCCCACGCUGCCAAGAGACGGGCUGCGGCGGCCUCAGUGUGUGCGGCACGCGCGCCGCCACCACUUAGUGACUGCGAAGAACUGCCCGCGUUGCAGCGGAGGCGUGAUAGUGACACGGCCGACACCUCGUUGCACCCCGCCAACGGUGGCGCCUCGACAGCGACUGGCGUGCUUCCCAGGAUCCAGCGCCGGGCAUCCUUGCAAAAACGCUCUGCCGUCGUGGGGUGGGUGCAAGGCUGCCAAACGACGCUGCACCGACGUGAGACAGGGGUGCAUGCCCCCGUGAAAUAGGAUGCAUGUGUGCGCUGUUUGUGCGUAUGCGACGCGGUUUUGCGCUCUUUCAAGAGUAGGGAGAGAAGAGGCAACCCUCCUCUUGCCCCUCUCCCCCCAUCCCCCCGUGCGCACAACUGUGAACACCACGAUAACGAAGAGGUAAGCCGAGAGCUGGUCCCUGCAGUGUGCCCCUUGUGCGUCUACCCCAACCCCAACCCCGCCUCUCUUCUCGCGUGGAAUGUAUAGUGUGAGUAGUAGUGGCGUGGGCCUUCUUUGUGUUUCUCAUCUCUUACUUUUGCAUCCACUCGGAACCGAAUCUGUUCUGUUUCUUUCUUUAGUGUGUGCGUGCUCUCUCUUCCUGCAGUGCACACAGCUGCCGACGUUUGCUGCUCUCGUAAUCCACUGCACCUCAGUCACUGCUGAGCCAAGU